AUACGUAGGGGGCGAGCGUUGUCCGGAAUGAUUGGGCGUAAAGGGUGCGGAGGCGGCGCGGUAAGUCGGGAGUGAACGUCAUGCUUUCAAGGUGGGAAUUGCUUUGGAUACUGCCGCGUUUGAGUGCAGGAGAGGUUAUCGGAAUUCCCGGUGUAGCGGUGAAAGGCGUAGAGAUCGGGAGGAAAAACAGUGGCGAAGGCGGGUAACUGGACUACAACUGACGCUGAGGCGCGAAAGUGUGGGGAGCAAACAGGAUUAGAUACCCUGGUAGUCCACACUGUAAACGAUGAAUGCUAGGUGUAAGAGGUAUCGACCCCUUUUGUGCCGGAGUCAACACAAUAAGCAUUCCGCCUGGGGAGUACGGCCGCAAGGUUGAAACUCAAAGGAAUUGACGGGG
rnacentral:rRNA from 1 species